UUAAGCGACUAAGCGUACACGGUGGAUGCCCUGGCAGUCAGAGGCGAUGAAGGACGUGCUAAUCUGCGAUAAGCGUCGGUGAGGUGAUAUGAACCGUUAUAACCGGCGAUUUCCGAAUGGGGAAACCCAGUGUGUUUCGACACACUAUCAUUAACUGAAUCCAUAGGUUAAUGAGGCAAACCGGGGGAACUGAAACAUCUAAGUACCCCGAGGAAAAGAAAUCAACCGAGAUUCCCCCAGUAGCGGCGAGCGAACGGGGAGGAGCCCAGAGCCUGAAUCAGUGUGUGUGUUAGUGGAAGCGUCUGGAAAGGCGCGCGAUACAGGGUGACAGCCCCGUACACAAAAAUGCACAUAUUGUGAGCUCGAUGAGUAGGGCGGGACACGUGGUAUCCUGUCUGAAUAUGGGGGGACCAUCCUCCAAGGCUAAAUACUCCUGACUGACCGAUAGUGAACCAGUACCGUGAGGGAAAGGCGAAAAGAACCCCGGCGAGGGGAGUGAAAAAGAACCUGAAACCGUGUACGUACAAGCAGUGGGAGCCUCUUAAUGGGGUGACUGCGUACCUUUUGUAUAAUGGGUCAGCGACUUAUAUUCUGUAGCAAGGUUAACCGAAUAGGGGAGCCGAAGGGAAACCGAGUCUUAACUGGGCGUUAAGUUGCAGGGUAUAGACCCGAAACCCGGUGAUCUAGCCAUGGGCAGGUUGAAGGUUGGGUAACACUAACUGGAGGACCGAACCGACUAAUGUUGAAAAAUUAGCGGAUGACUUGUGGCUGGGGGUGAAAGGCCAAUCAAACCGGGAGAUAGCUGGUUCUCCCCGAAAGCUAUUUAGGUAGCGCCUCGUGAAUUCAUCUCCGGGGGUAGAGCACUGUUUCGGCAAGGGGGUCAUCCCGACUUACCAACCCGAUGCAAACUGCGAAUACCGGAGAAUGUUAUCACGGGAGACACACGGCGGGUGCUAACGUCCGUCGUGAAGAGGGAAACAACCCAGACCGCCAGCUAAGGUCCCAAAGUCAUGGUUAAGUGGGAAACGAUGUGGGAAGGCCCAGACAGCCAGGAUGUUGGCUUAGAAGCAGCCAUCAUUUAAAGAAAGCGUAAUAGCUCACUGGUCGAGUCGGCCUGCGCGGAAGAUGUAACGGGGCUAAACCAUGCACCGAAGCUGCGGCAGCGACGCUUAUGCGUUGUUGGGUAGGGGAGCGUUCUGUAAGCCUGUGAAGGUGUGCUGUGAGGCAUGCUGGAGGUAUCAGAAGUGCGAAUGCUGACAUAAGUAACGAUAAAGCGGGUGAAAAGCCCGCUCGCCGGAAGACCAAGGGUUCCUGUCCAACGUUAAUCGGGGCAGGGUGAGUCGACCCCUAAGGCGAGGCCGAAAGGCGUAGUCGAUGGGAAACAGGUUAAUAUUCCUGUACUUGGUGUUACUGCGAAGGGGGGACGGAGAAGGCUAUGUUGGCCGGGCGACGGUUGUCCCGGUUUAAGCGUGUAGGCUGGUUUUCCAGGCAAAUCCGGAAAACCAAGGCUGAGGCGUGAUGACGAGGCACUACGGUGCUGAAGCAACAAAUGCCCUGCUUCCAGGAAAAGCCUCUAAGCAUCAGGUAACAUCAAAUCGUACCCCAAACCGACACAGGUGGUCAGGUAGAGAAUACCAAGGCGCUUGAGAGAACUCGGGUGAAGGAACUAGGCAAAAUGGUGCCGUAACUUCGGGAGAAGGCACGCUGAUAUGUAGGUGAAGCGACUUGCUCGUGGAGCUGAAAUCAGUCGAAGAUACCAGCUGGCUGCAACUGUUUAUUAAAAACACAGCACUGUGCAAACACGAAAGUGGACGUAUACGGUGUGACGCCUGCCCGGUGCCGGAAGGUUAAUUGAUGGGGUUAGCGGUAACGCGAAGCUCUUGAUCGAAGCCCCGGUAAACGGCGGCCGUAACUAUAACGGUCCUAAGGUAGCGAAAUUCCUUGUCGGGUAAGUUCCGACCUGCACGAAUGGCGUAAUGAUGGCCAGGCUGUCUCCACCCGAGACUCAGUGAAAUUGAACUCGCUGUGAAGAUGCAGUGUACCCGCGGCAAGACGGAAAGACCCCGUGAACCUUUACUAUAGCUUGACACUGAACAUUGAGCCUUGAUGUGUAGGAUAGGUGGGAGGCUUUGAAGUGUGGACGCCAGUCUGCAUGGAGCCGACCUUGAAAUACCACCCUUUAAUGUUUGAUGUUCUAACGUGGGCCCCUAAUCGGGGUUGCGGACAGUGUCUGGUGGGUAGUUUGACUGGGGCGGUCUCCUCCUAAAGAGUAACGGAGGAGCACGAAGGUUGGCUAAUCCUGGUCGGACAUCAGGAGGUUAGUGCAAUGGCAUAAGCCAGCUUGACUGCGAGCGUGACGGCGCGAGCAGGUGCGAAAGCAGGUCAUAGUGAUCCGGUGGUUCUGAAUGGAAGGGCCAUCGCUCAACGGAUAAAAGGUACUCCGGGGAUAACAGGCUGAUACCGCCCAAGAGUUCAUAUCGACGGCGGUGUUUGGCACCUCGAUGUCGGCUCAUCACAUCCUGGGGCUGAAGUAGGUCCCAAGGGUAUGGCUGUUCGCCAUUUAAAGUGGUACGCGAGCUGGGUUUAGAACGUCGUGAGACAGUUCGGUCCCUAUCUGCCGUGGGCGCUGGAGAACUGAGGGGGGCUGCUCCUAGUACGAGAGGACCGGAGUGGACGCAUCACUGGUGUUCGGGUUGUCAUGCCAAUGGCACUGCCCGGUAGCUAAAUGCGGAAGAGAUAAGUGCUGAAAGCAUCUAAGCACGAAACUUGCCCCGAGAUGAGUUCUCCCUGAGACUUAGAGUCUCCUGAAGGAACGUUGAAGACGACGACGUUGAUAGGCCGGGUGUGUAAGCGCAGCGAUGCGUUGAGCUAACCGGUACUAAUGAACCGUGAGGCUUAACCUU
rnacentral:rRNA from 2 species